AAAUCUGUCUGUGUUCACCUGCGGCUGCACCCCGUUCUACCAUGGCUGCACCUUCAUGUCCGUUUCACGCAAUCAAGCUCGGUCACUACUAUUCCCCGAACCGACGUCGUUUUCACCUCUUUUCUUCUUUCACUUGCCACCGUAGUAGUUCCGGUCCGACGGAUAACAAACUUACUACGACGUCGCAUGGAACAAGCGUUAAGCAGAAACAAUCACGCCAGCCAAAAUUCUUAGUUAAAUUUCGAGAUGGCGAUUUCUCAAAUAGUGAAAAGGAGCCCGACUUAUCUAAAAAAGGCGUUAGUUUGCCGGAAAGUCGAUGCUUUGAACGGAAAGCGCUAUGGAGAAAGAUUUUAUUCGCAUCGGAGAAAGUGAGGAGCAUUCUCUUGCUCAAUGCCAUCACAAUAAUUUACGCUAGCAAUAUUCCUAUAGUGAAAGAAGUGGAAGCAUUUAUUGAUCCUGGCACAUUCACUAUUGUCAGAUUUGUUUUGUCUGCAAUUGCAUUUUCGCCAUUUGUUUUGAAAGCAAGAGAUGAUGUUCAAACCCGGAAUGCUGGGAUAGAAUUGGGAUUUUGGGUCAGCCUUGGCUACCUUAUGCAAGCCCUUGGAUUGCAGACAUCGGGUGCAGGACGGGCAUCUUUCCUCACAAUGUUCACUCAUUCCAAAAUUUUGGUACAAUUCUUCAGGUGAUUGUGGUUCCUUUGCUUGAUGGUAUCCUAGGAUCGAAGAUCCCUGCACGUAUUUGGUUUGGAGCCCUCAUGUCUAUAGUAGGAGUCGGAAUGCUAGAAUCCAGUGGCUCACCUCCUUGUGUUGGGGACUUGUUGAAUUUCUUAAGUGCCGUAUUUUUUGGGGUUCACAUGCUAAGAACAGAACAUAUUUCUAGAGCUACUACCAAAGAGAACCUCUUACCUCUCCUCGGAUAUGAGGUAUGUGUGGUUGCUUUUUUAUCAACACUCUGGUAUGUCCUUGGAGUUUGUUCUGGUGGCACUCAAGCAUUAAAUCCAUCAUCCUGGACAUGGGGAAAAUUUGCGGAUUGGAUGGUAGCAUUCCCAUGGGUACCUGCAAUUUAUACUGGUGUUGUCUCCACAGGAUUAUGUCUAUGGGUAGAGGUAUGGCCACCUUAAAGUAUUGGUUUUCUACCUUGAGUGUUUACUUGUGAAAGUUCUUCUUUUGCAUGCCUUUGUGCUCAUAUCUUGAGCAACUUUCCAUAUGGUUCCAUCUAUGCAAUCCUGUUCUGUAAUUGUGUGUACUCAUCUAUUUGUUGUAGUCUAAAGUUUGUCUGUUAAACUGAAAAAUAAACUCUUUCCUUGUGUAUUUAAAGGAGGGCUAGAUGGAAAUAAAGGUUUACUGCUAAUCUGAUAAGAAUAGAAGCGGCAAUGGUAUUUUUCCCUGUAUUCAUAAAAGAACCAAAAGUAUUUUAGUAUAUGCAUUAUGUUAAACCUUUUUUUAAUCAGAAAAAAUUACUUGUUAUUUUGCAGUUAGAAAUAUUUUUAGCUCCUGCAUUUUAUUAUGUUACUCUGGUCACAUAAAUAUACAAAGGAGUUUCCUACAUAUUUUCAAAAUUUAGGAACUAGAUGUUUACCUCAGAUGAUAACUUUGUGAGAAGGGGAAGUUAACUGCUGAAAUGACUGGCAAGAAAACUAAGACGAAAAGCAAGGGUUACCUAAAUAAAAGCUGAAUUGGAGAAUGCAGAAUCAGAGGCUUGGGCUAUUCCAGGGCGUGCCAGGUACUGGUUGUUCUUGAGCAUCUUGCCUUGGAAUGUUUCGGUUUGUUAUGUCUUGUCUUUUCAAUCUGUGAUGGUAAUGGUAUCCAAUUCCUUCUCUUUCUUACUCCAUCAAUCAUAUCUGUUGUCUCGUCUAUCAAAACAAGUGCUCUCUGUCUCAGUCCAAGAGUAGAUGAUUCAACCUACCUGUCUAAUAAGAUGUUACUUCCCAUGAUGAGAAACUAUUGAUUUUCUUCUACCACUUCCAUACCACAAUUCUUGUUACAAUUUCUAAUUGGUAGAAAUCAGAAUAAUUCACUACAUGAUUUCUGCUGCAAUAUUAGAUAAUACUAAUAGGUAUGGAAUUUGGUUUGACUGUCUGAAGUGUUUUAGAUGAAUUUUAUUUUAAAGAAAAGACCUUGAUCGUGAACUAUAGUUGCAAAAUUUAGCUUUUUAUUUUUUUCAAUAAAUAAAUCCUUGAAACCAAGACAACCAAUAUAUGCUUAUUUGGUAUUGGUGAUUCUUAAACAAAGAUCAUUGUUCUUCUCUACUUUAAGCAGGUUUUGCUAGCUAGUCUUGAUCUAAUCACCUAGCAUUAUAAUACAGAUUGCGGCCAUGCGAGAUGUUUCAGCCACAGAAACUGCAAUAAUCUAUGGGUUGGAGCCGGUCUGGGGUGCUGCAUUUGCAUGGUUUCUUCUUGGAGAGAGAUGGGGUGUCAAUGGAUGGAUUGGAGCUGCUCUUGUUCUAGGUGGAAGCUUAACAGUACAGAUACAAGGAGCAUCGUCUUCCACUACAUCGCAAAAAGAUGAAAGAAGCAUCGAGAAAAGCGGCGAUCCACCAGAUAAGGAAAACAUGUUGUCUACCCCUUCAGUUCUUGUCAAUUCUAGAAAUGAUUCACGUACCUUAUUAAAGAAGUGAGACUUGUAGCUUGAGCUUGUAUUUUCACACCUGACCCAGAUACACAACAGUUUUGUUGCCGCAUGCGCAAGAGAAUGUUUUAGUAUAGCCGCACUAGAUGGAGAUAUGACCAUUCAACUAAUUAUGUAACAUAAAUAGACAAACACAGGCAUCAACAAAUUGGAAUAUUUAUAUUUUAGAUCUGAUCAACUGAUGUUCCUCUCUAUGUAGAUGAUGGCCAUGCUAUGAAAUGGCAUACUUGCCAUUGAAUUGAACAGUUUGGUUUUGAGCU